AAUUGGAUAGCUUAGUGGCAAAGCAUUGGACUGAAAAUCCUUGUACAGUAGUUCGAUUCUACUUCCAAACA
rnacentral:tRNA from 1 species